rnacentral:rRNA from 1 species
GAUUAGCUAGUUGGUGGAGUAAAAGCCUACCAAGGCNACGAUCAGUAGCUGGUCUGAGAGGAUGAUCAGCCACACUGGGACUGAGACACGGCCCAGACUCCUACGGGAGGCAGCAGUAGGGAAUUUUCCGCAAUGGGCGAAAGCCUGACGGAGCAAUGCCGCGUGGAGGGUGAAGGCCUAUUGGGUUGUUAACUCCUUUUCCCAGAGAAGAACUGACGGUAUCU